AAUAGCAAAUUAAAUAUUUCAGUCGUAUCUACUUAAUUGUAAACAAUUGCAAAUUAAAUUUUAAUUAUUUAAUAAUAGCAAUCAUUAAUUCUAUUAUUCUAUCAAUUAUCCAUAUAUUUCGCAAUAUAUUACUAAGAAAUAUUAAUAAAUAUCGUCUGUUUAUUAUAGAUGCAUUAUACUGAUUUCUCUAAAUUUGUAAUUCGAUAUUGAUAGAUGAAAAGAGCUAUCAACAAACUAACACUAGUAGCACGAUCACAAUACUUCAGCCAUAGUAACUUCGCUAUGGAUGAAGUAAAAAGUUUUGGUAUGAUAAAUAUUAUUUAUGAUAAACAGAAACCAAAUAAUAAAAAAUCAAUAAUUUUCUUUACUUUUUUAGGUAUAUGGGGAUGGAUAACUGUGACUGGUCUGGGAGAAUUAAUACGAAUUGACGAAUAUUUAACAUCAUCUCAAUACAUUGAUA
rnacentral:lncRNA from 1 species